UGAUGACGCCAUUUGCCAACCCUGUAUUACGAGGCGAAGAAGAAUUCAAUAGAUGCCACACAAGAACAAGAGUAAUCAUUGAACAAACCUUUGGAGUCUUGAAGUCAAGAUUCAGGUGCUUGCAUCGAUCAGGAGGAAACCUUCAAUAUGAGCCUCUUAAAUGUUCCAAGAUUAUUGCAGCCUGUUUGUUACUCCAUAAUCGAUGCAUCAAGAGGAACAUCCCAAAUCCUGUGGAUGAACAUGCAGGAGACCCUAUGGAGCUCCAGCAUCAAGAUCAAGAAGAAGUACACCAUGCGCAAGAUCAGGGUCAACCCGCUAGAGGUCUUGGCAGACAAGUUCGCACUGCAUUAGUUGAAAAUUUCUUCCAAGGCUAGAAUAAACAGAAUAACCGUAGUUUACAAGUUUACAAUUAAUUGUUAUUUGCACUUUUCUGUUCAAGCGGGGCUUAUAUAUAAAUGUGGCAUAUCAUUACCUUCAAGAUUACCUACCUCCUUACUUUAUUAACUGUGACACAACUCCAUUUUUUAUUAAUAACUGUUCUAAUACGCAAUUGUAAAUAGACAUGUAAUGAAUUUCAUCAUGCUGCAAGGAAAUUAAUAAGUAACUCCAGCAAAUCAUAUCUAUAUUUCUUGAAAUACUAAAUCCUUUUUGCUUCAUACCUAAUAGAUUAGGUACAUAUAAACCAAUUUACAAUUAAUCUUUACAUUUCAAUAAUACAAAUUCGAAAUAUACCACUCUGAAUCAUAAGCAGUGCUAUGUUUCAUGUAAAAUGCAGUAAACAAAUAAAA